GACGAACGCUGGCGGCGUGCUUAACACAUGCAAGUCGAACGGAAAGGCCCUGCUUUUGUGGGGUGCUCGAGUGGCGAACGGGUGAGUAACACGUGAGUAACCUGCCCUUGACUUUGGGAUAACUUCAGGAAACUGGGGCUAAUACCGGAUAGGAGCUCCUGCUGCAUGGUGGGGGUUGGAAAGUUUCGGCGGUUGGGGACGGACUCGCGGCUUAUCAGCUUGUUGGUGGGGUAGUGGCUUACCAAGGCUUUGACGGGUAGCCGGCCUGAGAGGGUGACCGGCCACAUUGGGACUGAGAUACAGCCCAGACUCCUACGGGAGGCAGCAGUGGGGAAUAUUGCACAAUGGGCGGAAGCCUGAUGCAGCAACGCCGCGUGCGGGAUGACGGCCUUCGGGUUGUAAACCGCUUUCGCCUGUGACGAAGCGUGAGUGACGGUAAUGGGUAAAGAAGCACCGGCUAACUACGUG
rnacentral:rRNA from 1 species